ensembl:lncRNA
AUGCUACUCAGCCUUGGACAGAUAUUGCUAACCCAGGUAAUGCUAACCCUGCAAAUACCAUCCAUGCAGGUAGAGAAGCUUUUAGAGAUAGCGCUGUGUUGGCAAACGUUGCACUUGGUAGUAGCAAAGCUAGUCCUUUAAUAGAUAAUGUUAAUGCUAUCUUGGCAUCCGAAUGUAACUACUGCAGCCAAACAUAUUGUAACGUUACACAGGGCUUUCCAGCUAGCACCGCUAACAGGAGAACCUCUGUGCCCCAGCCGAUCAAUAACAAAACUGAAUCUAUUGGUUGCAAUGAACCAGGGAGGAUGGAAUCCAUAAUUUAUGCUUCACUAUUAAGUCCCGAGAAAAAACAGAAGAACUCGACAACCCAACAUCCGUCUUUACAACAGCAGAUGACAGCUCCGGUGUUUGUCGAUGCUAAGCUAUCUGAGGCUAUGAGGAAACUGGGAAACGCAGACGCUGCUUAUUGGACCUUUUCUGGAACAAGAGAAGAAGAUGGAACGUUACUUCUGGAGAGCAGAGAGGAAUCGAUAGAGUGGAGCGAUGUUUCUACAUCAUUCAGUGAGAUAAAUAAUGGGGUUAGCUGGACAGUUCGCCCGGUUGGACUCCACCCCCAAGAGAAGCCCAAGCGGUGCAUCUUGGGAAGAGGACAGAGGAGCUGUAGACAAAUCACAGCGUCUUCUCCCAGGCUCAUCAGCCAAAUACAGCUUUCUGCCGAUUCCCUCUGCUCACCUUCAACCCACCGCACUCGUUUGCCACAGCACCUGGCCCACACAGCUUUACCUGUGAACACAUCCCCUGAUGAUAUCCCCACGUGCUCAUCUGUCUGUUGUCCUUGCAGACAGAAGCCACCGGUUCUUAACAACAAGCCAAAUCUCUCACCCAAAACCCUCAACCAACUCUUUGGGAUCCCGUGUUUGACGGACACUACAAGCUCUACAAGAACCAUGGGUACCUUGGAGUACCCUGGAACACUGGGAACUAGGGGAAGCAUGGAGAACAGUAGCACCCUGGGAAGCAUUGGCACCUAUGGGACCGGUGGAUCCUCAGAGACCAGUAGCACCAUGGGGACCAUGGAUAUCUAUCGGAAACGUGGACCUUCAGAGAAAAAUAGCACCCUGGGGAUCACAGAUCCCUGGAUUAUCAACACAAUUUCUGACCCAGAAGCAGAGGCUUUGCUCUACACAAGCUUGAUGACUGAAGACAAAGACGAGAAGGAGACGGUGGGCAAGAGAGGGAUGGAGUCACCAAUGAUGAUGACAAUAAUGUCCACCAGGAAAAAAAAGAAGGCCAGGAGGAGGAGGAGAAGCUCAGGCAGGCCCCUGCUGAUGACGUCAUCCCCAAGGGCCUCCUCCUCCUCGUCUUCCACACCCUCCUCGUCUCCAUCUUCAUCUGGAGACGAAGGAGACGUGAAUGAGAAAACCCGUUGGAGGACGAGGACCAUGGCACGCAACCACAAGAGCUCCUGUGCAGGGAUUGGUUGGAGCAGGUCACCCCCCAAAAACCAUCUCGGGGCGGAAGGGUUGCUGCGAGAUCUUCAGAUCCACGAGGAAGCAGAGAGAGAGCGAGGAAACAAGGAAACAGAGAAGAGGAAGGAAUUACGAGAGGAUCACAAGUUUGAGUCCAGUCGAAUACAAACCACCGAGGAUCUGUUCAAGGUCAUCCACAGAUCCAAGAGGAAGAUGUUCGGAAGGCGAGAUUCAGAAGACAACCGACAUCUAACUCCCUCCUCCUCCCUCACCGCCCCUCGGCCUCCUCUCUCCAGGCCUACCGCGGCUCCCAGAGGUCAAAGGUCAGGCAAGAGCGAGAGCUUCAAGCUCCUUUUGCUGAGGAAAAGGAGUCGGUGGGAUUCCUCUUCUCGGAAAUCGGCUGUUGAGCGACUUUGCAAACUUGCUUCUUCUGAGACUCCUGCUGACCUCCAAAGGGCGACGCCCACAGCAAUGACUACAUCAAUGAUGUCACCGAUGACACUGCCGGGUACACACAACCUUAAUGGCCUUUUUACUCAGAGCCAGAACUUCUCCAUGAUCGGGUUUGGAUGGGGAGAGAGAGUUCAGAAGCAGAAUCACCUCCUUUUCAGCUCCUCCUCCUCUAACUCCUCCCACCUCCUCUUCCUCUCCUCAUCCUCGCAGCCUCGUUCCCUCAAUCCCCCCUGCUCUUCCUGCCGCUGCUGCCUGAAGGCCACCCCGGAGAUGAAGAAACGAGGGGGGAAAAGGAAGAGAACGAUGUUUUUAUGGAGACCGCAGGAAGCGAAGGAGAAAAUCUUAACUGACUGUGACAAUGUCUUCUACUGAUCCGGUCUCAUGUCCCACAGCAGCAGAAGACCAGACUUGACUCAACUGGACUGGACUAAACCUAACUUAACUUAACAAGACUUGACUAACCCGAAUGAAAUCCAGCAGAUUGGAGUAACACAGAAGUGGACUCAACUAGACCACUCUAAACCCUACCCAACUAAACUGGAGCCCACCACGUCGGACUCGACCUGUAACUCAAACUUACAGUUGAAACUACCGAUCUUUAUGAACUUGUAUUUUUGACUUUAGCUUGAAUAAUCUUUGUUGAUACUUAGUUUUAAGUGAAUGAAUCAGAAUUUGUGGUUCUUUGUCCGUGUCUUCUGUCUGACCAAUUGGGAGAGAAUGUUACCAUUGACAAUUACAAUAUAGGGAAUGUUAUUAAGUAUUUUUUUAAUUUAAAUUGUUGUUUUUAAAGCUAGAAACAAUAAGUGAUUUACAUUGUACCAUUUGAGUCUCCACGGUAAUGAGUUGAUCUUUGUAAACAAAGUGGUGGACAGAAAGAUAAAUAAAUAUUAUAGUUGAAAACAGUGGCGGUUGGUGACAUUUUGUUUUUGUUAGGACCAACCAAUCAGCAAACAUCCCCAUAUGGGUCAAUGCAUAAAAAGGUAUCAAACAUGCAUCAUUGCUUUGCAGUUAACUAUUUCACAUUUGUUCCAACGGUUUAACAUUAUAAGGACAUGUUAUUCAUACAAUUCAGUAUAUUAAUUAAUAUAUAUGUCAAUACAUAAUCACACAUAUUGAAAUUCAUUAAUCGUGAUUAAAAGUGUUUUUUCUUUUUAAAGACUAAAUCUUAUAAAUUAAUGAGUAAUCACUUUUGAAAGUGUGUAUAUUAGACACUGUUGUUUAAUUGUAUUU